GAGCAAAACAUGCUGCCAGAGUAAUGAUACCAGAAAAGAAAGGCUGUAUUCUAUUUACGGCAAGUCUUGCUGCGGUGAUUUACGGCGGCGUUCCACAUGCUUACACAGCUUCAAAGCAUGCAGUUGUUGGAAUAACCAAGAACUUGGCUGUAGAACUGGGGCAGCAUGGGAUAAGAGUUAAUUGCAUUUCGCCGGUGGCUGUGUUCACCCCUUCGGUUGGGCGAGCUAUGGGUUUGGAUGAGAAGACGUUGGAGGC
rnacentral:misc_RNA from 1 species